UACAAUGGUUUAUUUAUUCCUACCACAAAAUUUCACCAAGUCAGCCAAAAUUAAACCCCUAUACAUAAAACAAUCCUUUUUAACAUUAAUUUUCCACCACAAAAUUUCACUAAGACCGCCACUACUACUACUCCGACCAAAAGUUCACCUAAGCCCGAUAAAUCACCAUACUCCGACCACAAUAAUAGAACUCUUCCUUAAAUGACCAACAUUUUAAUCCUUCAAAUGAAGUCGUACGAAAAGAACCCAUCACCCUCUCCUCCUCUCUGACCACGAUCAAAUUACUAUGCCUAUGCUGCAAACCUGAACCCGAACCUAUCACUCUCUUCUUCUUUUCCUUCGUCGCUCUUGUGUAGUCGCUGCUCCAACAUUACCAAAUUCUAAUCUUUCAAAAAAUUCAGUGUCAACUGACAGACUAUGAAAAUGAUUCAACGGUCUAGGGUUUUGAUCAGCACCAACCAAUAUAGAAAAAUCGAGUUCGGUUGAAGAUGAGUCAGCCAAAUUACAGGUCCAAUCCCUUCCCAACUCAGAACACUUCUAGAAUUUGAAAAGUGCGACCAUCGUACUUCAAUUUCAAAGUUUCUCCAACUUCAGCUCCUUCACUGCUUCGACAACCACUUUAAAUUCACUUCAACUUCUGAGAAAAUUUGGGAUUUUCUUCUUUAAUUUGGUGACUUUAAGGAUUGUUGAAAGAUUUCAAGAUGAUUAUUGAGCAUGAAGUAUUGCUAUAAAUUUCUAUGAAUUAAAGCAUGGACUCUAAGUCUUAAGUACAAGUAUUGAGUUUACAAGAAGAUUACGCUCUUAAGAUCCAUUGACAAGUCUUAUAACAUGAUUUAAAGCAAAGCUUGAUCCUUUGAUCUAAAGAUAAGAUAUGAAUUCCACAAUUGUAUAUCUUGAUUAUGAUUUAAAGAAAGAAAAGCAUAAUUUAUUUUCAGUCUAUAAGCCCGUAUGCUAUUUUAAGAUGGAUUUCUUAAAUUAUGAGCGUAUAAGUAUUCUGGGAGUAGUAUUUAGCAUUGAAAAAGGAAUGUGGAUGAGCGUAUCCUUAAUUCCUAAAAACUACGAGCCAACGAAGGUUAAGAUUUUUUCUUAAUAUGGAUGAAGUUCAAUGAUCACUUAAGAUUAAGGUUCUAUUAUAAUGGCAAGGGUAGAACAACUCUUCCCAAUGUGGGUAAGACACUGGACUCCAUAAUAGCUUACAUGGUUUAUGUCGGUUAGAAGAAACUCCCAAAAGAAAGAAUAGUAAGUAAAGCUUUUACAACUAAGUGUUAUGGCUCACAAAGUUUAUCCUUAUGCUUCAUUACUCAUGUUUAUGAUUUUACAGUCUUUGUUUUAUUCAUGCUUAAGGUGAUUCAUUUACACUUAGCAUGCAUUAUUGAAAGUUUAUAUGAAUAUUUAGUUAUUAUUUUACUCGUGCAUUCACCCCCACAUACUCAGUAUAUUCCAGAAGUACUGACCCAUAUAUACGUCUAUGUGGCUACAUUGUUUCAUAAUCUAGGUACCAGUUGUAGCCCACACAUCAUAAUCAGAUAGCUCACAAUUUUCAGCCAGCAGGUGAUAAGUUCUUUUGAUUUGAGGACUUGAGUCAAUUAUAGUUUUAGUAUCAUUAUUUAUUCAGUCGUAUUGACUAGGGAUAGCUUGGAGUCAUGUCCUGGCUACCUAUAGUCAGUACUAAUAAAGGCUUCAUAGACUGUCAUUUAGAGUUGAUGUAUUUACUUUCAGUUUUGUUUUGUAUGAUAAAAGUUUAAAUAUUUUAAACAGUUUUAGAUUGAAAAUAUUUAGCAAAGACAUUUUUUCUGAUUAUUUCUUUUAGAUUUAUGUAAAAUAUUCAGUUGCUUACGAGUUAUGCAAGUACCAUGGGUUAGCUUUGGAUCACUUGUGGUUCUAAGAACCAUGUGCCGUCCAGGGGUAGUCUCAAGGUGUUACAUCCAUCCAAUUUAUGAUAACAAUCACCAAAUAUUACAAAAACAUGCUAUAGUUGGGGUACCUACAAUCCAUGUUGAAAAUGUUGAUGAAUUGAAGUGGUUUAAUUCUUCAUAUUUUCCUGAUUUGCGGUAGCUAGAAUCUGUUCACUGCUUAAUUCUUGCAAAGUGUCAAUUAUUUCAUAGUUGUUCACUCUCAAAUGCUUAUGUUUGAUAUUUGCAUAUUUCAACCUUCUGUAGGGGCUGGGGUAUGGGUGAAUCACCAUUUCCUUCACCCUCAUAGCUAUAAAUCUUUUUAGCUCACAUCAUUCAUGCAAGGAAACAAAGAGUAACCUUUUUAAAAUGGAAUUUGGAUCUAUAAAAGUUAAUUUGAGUGGGAAUAUCUAUUCAAAAAGGACCUCUAGGACAUAAAUUUGGCUUGUGUUGGGUAGAUAAAUGUCACAAACCAAACUAGAAGUCGUGAGUGGUACAUAAUGGGCUUAAUUUCAUAUUAAUGAACUAACUUCUCUCUAGCAAAACUCUGGAUAACCAUUAACCAGUUUAAUGAUUUGCAUCAUCUAAGUUAUCACACAGACACAACAUUUAUUCUUUCAACUGAAAUAAAACAAACCAUCAUGAAGCUGUUACAGUUCUCAAAACACUAAUAUAGUCCUUGAUCUUGUCAUGGAGAGCAUUGAGCACUUCAGAAAAUCUGGAAAGACAAAAUAAAAACUUAGCUUUUGUGAGUGUUAAAUUUUCUUUUGAAUACAUAUUUUACAUUUAUGCUUGUUUAUAUCAUUUUAAUCAUUUUCAUUUAAAAAUUUAUUCUAAAUUAGUACACCUUCUUCAUUAAUUGUCCAGCAUAUUUUGGUGUUGAUUAGUUUUCCUUUGAGAAAAUAUGCUUACCUCUCGGUGUUUGUAGGAAAAGUAUAGGGUUAAGAAACAAAAUAAAUAUGCACCUCGAGUACUAUUGAGGCAUCCCUUUGCACGAAGGUAGACUCCUGCCUUUAAAUUUCUUUUGUUAUUUUGGAGUUCUCAAUUUUUAGACUUUCUAUUUUCCCUUCAUCUAUAAGUUGAUCUUUGGGGAAGGGGAGGCGGGAGAUGAGAUUGGAUAAUGUCUCUUUUCCAUUUCUUUUGUUUCUAGCUUAGUAGCUAGAACUCUAUUAAUGGUAAUGUAAUCAAAAUUAAACAAGUAACUUCCACUGCAAAAUGUAGCCUGACGGUCCCAAGUGGAAGAAGUCAGUAUUUCUUAGUUGAGUAAUGAUAUCCAGUAACUGUCAAUUUGUUCUUAUACCAUACCACUUCAUUGAUGUUGGAACACUCAGUUUUUAUGUGAACUUUUGAGUAUGUCAUCUUACUUUUUUUUGAUAAGUAAAGAUUUUUAGGGCUCGUGUAGAUUGAUUGCAUUUUACUUUUUAUUCAGGUGAUAUUUUUGUUUCAAUCAUACACAGUGGUAGUUCUUCUUCAAUUUUUAAGCACUAUUGUUCUUUGAAUCACAUAAAUGAUAGUUCUUCAUUUAAUUUCUGAACUAUCCCCAAGAAACUAGUGGUGAUGUCAGUAGUAGAAAGUUGUAAUGCUUUAUUUGGUUUCUAGUUGCAAAUAUCCUAGUUGUUGUUGUUCCUUGAUCUUUUCUAUUUUUCUAACAUAUACCUUAAAUUUUUUAGCAUUUGUGAGGCCUACUUCAAUAAACAUCCUGACAAAAUUGGGUAAUAUGAUCUUUUUUUGUAUUUGAUUAAUUAUCUUCAUUUAUUGUUUUCUGGUUAUGAUUUACCUUUUUGAUCGGAAGGAACUAUAGAUAGGCUUUGAUUACAUAUUUUAGAAUCAAAAAAUAUUAAAAUCUGAGAUAUUCUCCUUGAUGUUAUUUGUUGUUGGUAUGGCAGUGCUCAUGGAAGUGAAGAAUGCAAAUAGAUUUGCAGUCCAGAUGUUUGUUGUAGUCUAAUCACCCUAAGUUUUAUACCUUGCUCAUUUUUCUUUGAAUGAUUCUUGGUUUUGGAGACAUGGGGGUUGAUUUUAUAUUCUCUUGAUUCCAUCAGGUUCAUGCGAGUGGAUGCACUAUCUCUAUUGCUAUGCUUGGAGAAUGUUACUAUAAAUGCAGAUGUACUUAUAGUAGACAUGGUUGGUGGUAUUCUUACUGGUGCUAUUGCAGAACGACUAGGAGGUGUUCAAAAUGAAGGAGAUGAAGAAAGAAGUGAUGAAGAAAUUGACCUUACUUGAGAAGAUUUUUGAAUUGUUGAUAGAUGCUUUAAUAUUAAUCUUUUUGAUAUUGACUUUCGUGAAACUUAUCGCCACUCGAAUUUGAUACUUUGUGGGAAAACUAAUGAUCAUUUGACUUUAAACA